CCUACGGGAGGCAGCAGUGGGGAAUAUUGGACAAUGGGCGAAAGCCUGAUCCAGCCAUGCCGCGUGUGUGAAGAAGGCCUUCGGGUUGUAAAGCACUUUCAGUGGGGAAGAAAGCCUUGGGGCUAAUACCCUCGAGGAAGGACAUCACCCACAGAAGAAGCACCGGCUAACUCCGUGCCAGCAGCCGCGGUAAUACGGAGGGUGCGAGCGUUAAUCGGAAUUACUGGGCGUAAAGCGCGCGUAGGCGGUCUGAUAAGCCGGUUGUGAAAGCCCCGGGCUCAACCUGGGAACGGCAUCCGGAACUGUCAGGAUAGAGUGCAGGAGAGGAAGGUAGAAUUCCCGGUGUAGCGGUGAAAUGCGUAGAGAUCGGGAGGAAUACCAGUGGCGAAGGCGGCCUUCUGGACUGACACUGACGCUGAGGUGCGAAAGCGUGGGUAGCAAACAGGAUUAGCUACCCGAGUAGUC
rnacentral:rRNA from 1 species